rnacentral:rRNA from 1 species
GACGAACGCUGGCGGCGUGCUUAACACAUGCAAGUCGAACGGAAAGGCCCUGCUUUUGUGGGGUGCUCGAGUGGCGAACGUGUGAGUAACACGGGAGUAACCUGCCCUUGACUUUGGGAUAACUUCAGGAAACUGGUGCUAAUACCGGAUAGGAGCUCCUGCUGCAUGGUGGGGGUUGGAAAGUUUCGGCGGUUGGGGAUGGACUCGCGGCUUAUCAGCUUGUUGGUGGGGUAGUGGCUUACCAAGGCUUUGACGGGUAGCCGGCCUGAGAGGGUGACCGGCCACAUUGGGACUGAGAUACGGACCAGACUCCUACGGGAGGCAGCAGUGGGGAGUAUUGCACAAUGGGCGGAAGUGUGAUGCAGAAAUGCCGCGUGCGGGAUGACGGCCUUCGGGUUGUAAACCGCUUUAGCCUGUGACGAAGCGGGAGUGACGGUAAUGGGUAAAGAAGCACCGGCUAACUACGUG